GCACGGGAGAGGGAGACGGGGAAAAGAGGCAAGGGUGUAGGGGGUAUUUAUAGGGGAGAGCUAGAGAUAAAUCUUGUUAUCCAUCUCUGAAAUAGAUAAUAUUUGAAAGGGAUAAAAAUUAGAGUCCUAAUUUAUUGGAAUUGAUUUUUUAGUUGGAGAUAGAGACGGGGCUGGUUGUUUGGCCGUGGGGAGGGAGUUGGUGCUGCACGGCUUGGAGAGGGAGGGACGCAUGCACAUGGGGGAGAGGAGGAGAUCGUACGGGAGAGGCAGAGGGGAAAUCAGCCAAAAGAUAAAAUGAAAA
rnacentral:lncRNA from 1 species